UGCCGUAUAGGUGCGGUUUCUCAACACGCAGGGACGUUUUUGUGUAUCUAAUCUCGGGCACCGACAAGUCACUAGCACCCGCUCUUCUCUCUACUAUAUAUUCCAGCCGCACUCACGAACGCGCACGUCAUUCUCGCACCCCCCAUCGUGCGAUUGGGCUCUGCAGUCUGGAGAACAGAUACCACCGAUUCGCUCCACCAAUAGCCCCCCCCCCCGCACACACACACACACGCACACAGACUUCCUUCUUCUAAACGGCACAUUCAACCAAACCUACGAGCGCAUAAGCACGCCUCCAUGCACACUUGCAGACGUAGCAGAUCUGCAGUUUGACCGUAGCACAGAGAGGCCUUUGCAAGAGAGACCGACGCGUUUUUAUUUCCUCCUCUGCACAUCACCACACGACACACACACACACACACACACACACACAACAGCAGCAAACAAAACACUAACACACGAAAAGAAAUAUAUAUAUAUAUUAUAUACAGCGAGUGAGCUCCUCAACACUCCCGAACACAUCGCACAAGCCUGCUCGUAUUCGUCUCGUCUACUCACGCUUUCCUUCCUUUCUCCAUCUUUUUUUUCCGGUCUCCGCAUCGUUGAGUACACAGUCACUCACACAAGCAAUAUAAUUCUUUUUGUUUACGUGUUUUUCUACUGCUGUUCCUUGUUGCCUUUGUCGUGUCGUGGGCGUUGUCGGCUCUACUUUGGUCCCUCUCGCGCGCGUUUGCGGUCUUGUUGUGAAACGGCGGUUUCACUGAGUUGUCUGUUCAAACUCGGGUCCCCGUUCCAUCCACCUUUUUUUUUUGGUUGUUCUCAAGCGUAGAAGUCGAAGACGGUCUUGCUUCUCUGUCCGCACCCAGAGAUCCACUCAUCUCUGUUUUUUUCCCGCUGCGUCUUCUGUUGUUUGUGCGAGCCAUGCUACGCCGCACGUGUCUCGCACGCGUGCACCUCUUCAGCGCGUUGGUGCCGCAGGUAAAGGUGCAAGCGCCGCACUUUUUGUCGGCAGAGGGCGUGGCCACGGCCAGGGUCGCGCUCGAGGAGCGCAAGUCGUACAUGGACUACCCCGAACUCGUUGAAUGCGUCGACGCACUCGGCAACAUUGACAGCGCGCUCAAAAAGAGUGACGUGGCGAAGAAACUGAGUAGGUGUGUCGAUGCUCUGCGCGCUCAGCUGUACCGCAAGGACUCGACCGAUCCACGACGACGGCUGGAGCUGCACGAAGCCGUGAUGGCGGCGGGCUUCUAUGAACGUGUCAUCAGCGUGACUCAGCUGGAGGGAGAGGGGAUUCGCUACGUUAUGAACCACUUCAACUUCGACGUGCGUCGCGACACGCUGAUCACGCGAAAGGUGCAUGAGACGCUCGCGGAAGAGAAGACAACGACGCCAGAGUCAGAGCAGCUUCUACGCGACUUGCUACUUCUUGAGCGUCGCCUCACUGGCAAGUAUCGCUUCUCGCAGCUUGGGGGCCGCCGCUGGUUUGCGCUCGGCAUGCCGCUCUCCGAGAUCAAGACGGAGAAAGAGGCGCAGCGUCUCCUUGACAUCAGCGUCAUCAAGAGGGACGGCAACUUCACUCUUUGUGAGGUGGAUUCGGAGAAGUUGUGGAAGACGAUUACGAUCAAACCAAACGAGGAGCAGCACGUCACGUUCGCGGAGGCAGGGAACAUAUUCAAGGAUAUUCGCGAAGCCGACACGAUCUUUGAGCUGCGCGUGCAAAAGCCGCAGACGCCGCCAGAUUUUUGGGAGCGACUCCGCGAAACGCUGCUGCGCUACUGGGUGCUGUGGUUUGCAGCGUGGGUGACUUUUUUCAUGGUGGAUGAGGAGAUUAUCACGCUGGUUGCGCUGAUAUUCAUGAAGCACUGGCAGACGAAGAUGCUGGAAGAGGAGGCGCAAAAGACGGGGGGCAAGGUGUACAUCGCAUCCGCCGUGGGUCGCUCUCGAGAGUGAUGGCGGCGACUGGGGCUCGUCGAUAAAUUUGGUGUCUCUGUGUUAUGCACGGUGUGGAUAUGGCAGUGCUGGGUGAGGGCGCGUUCUCUUUUAUUCUCUACGAUUGUAUUAUUAUCAUAUCAUACAUAUACAUAUAUGCAUAGACGUAUGUAUGUGUGUACAUAUAUUUUUCUAAGGAGAUUGCUGCCGCGGGCUUCUUUUGAAUUGCAUCUCUCUGCACUCACGUCGCUCCCAUUUCUCUACCGCCGUCCUGCAUCUUCUGCUAUGAUCCAGGGUGGCUACGCGUUGUCGACGACGCCAGGGAUCAGAAGGGCGGUGGAAGCGAGCCCGCUGCACAGUUUGUUUGCAGACACAAUAAAACGCUCCUACAUGAUCAAACGACUCGUGCAAAUCUCGUCUGAAGUGCGCACAGAAAAGAAGGCGACGCUGCCGAGGUCAUGGAAGUGUCGCGCACCCUCACUCUCCGCGAAGUCCUUGCCUUCUCUCUCGAAAGCAACGGCGUCAACGUCGCUGCGAAGCCUUCUGCCUCGUCUCUCGCAUUUUAUAGCUGCAUCAAAGUGGGGCCUCCCAUCUUACGCAGCAGAUCGCACGAUGCGUUGUGUACGUUUCUAGUCCUCUUACCGCCUUCUUAUAUACCUCCCUUUGGCUCCCUAACCGCGUUACCCGCUGGCUGAGACCCUCUCUGUCUCCAUAUCUCGCUGUGCCAUGCAUGUGUCCGAGCAUGCUGGCCUCUCACAUUUUCGCACCAAUCGACUCCUCUUACUCUCACCUACGCAUUCACUCUCACCCUGCCCCUUCGGUGAGCUUUCUUUUCUUUCAUCUAUCCUCGUUUCUUCGGGGGCACGCGUGUCUGCGUGCGGACGCUUCGCAG
rnacentral:misc_RNA from 1 species